rnacentral:tRNA from 2 species
AGGGGGUAUGGCGGAAUUGGUAGACGCUACGGACUUAAAUAAUUUGAGCUUUAGUAAAUCCGUUGGCUUUAUUGACCGUGAGGGUUCAAGUCCCUCUACCCCCA